rnacentral:rRNA from 1 species
GAGGAAUAUUGGUCAAUGGGCGAGAGCCUGAACCAGCCAAGUAGCGUGAAGGAUGACUGCCCUAUGGGUUGUAAACUUCUUUUAUAAAGGAAUAAAGUCGGGUAUGGAUACCCGUUUGCAUGUACUUUAUGAAUAAGGAUCGGCUAACUCCGUGCCAGCAGCCGCGGUAAUACGGAGGAUCCGAGCGUUAUCCGGAUUUAUUGGGUUUAAAGGGAGCGUAGAUGGAUGUUUAAGUCAGUUGUGAAAGUUUGCGGCUCAACCGUAAAAUUGCAGUUGAUACUGGAUAUCUUGAGUGCAGUUGAGGCAGGCGGAAUUCGUGGUGUAGCGGUGAAAUGCUUAGAUAUCACGAAGAACUCCGAUUGCGAAGGCAGCCUGCUGAGCUGCAACUGACAUUGAGGCUCGAAAGUGUGGGUAUCAAAC